rnacentral:lncRNA from 1 species
GGGCAUCCCAGGGUGUCCUCUCUGAUACGCUUGCCAUGUGUGCAGCCCUCUGUGUAGCCCCACACUGGGAGAAGCCCUGCUGGGAGACUGUAGUGUUGUUUUGUUUUAAACUUACCAAAAUAAAGGUACUGGCACUGGGGACCUGGCAGGGAGACCGUGAUCAGGACAGUGGUUUUCCCUGGGCAAGGUUAUCCAUUGCAUAGCUGCUGUGCCGACGCCUGUGACUGCCCCAAAUGCAGGAAACUUGAUUGCAUUAUUUACAGUAGCAGGGAUCUGUGUGCUCAAAGAAAGAACCAAAAAAGAGACGCCUAGAGAAGAGUAGGGUGUGUAUUUAUGAUACUUCUUCUAAAGAGUCUCCUAGCUUUAGCCAUUUUCAGCUCAGGAGUUUCCUGGGCCAUAUAUGGUUGCUAUGUAUCCAGCAGCCCUCAGUGAUUUGGGAGCUUUUUGGAAUUUCCCUGGACACCUGAAUUAAUCAAAAACGAUUUCUUCCAAAGUGCAUAGAUGGGUGUGUAAAUCAUCCCCAUUCUGACCUAAUGAUGAGGAAAUUGCAUUCUCCUUGCUGUCCUGUGAGAUGGUACAGCAGAAGCCAGUGCCCCAAGCCCCAGGCCUGAGCAGAAGGAGCUUCUCCUGUUAUCCCAGAUCUGAGACUCCAGGAAGAAGAAAGAACUUCUCCUUCCCAGAACAGCAUUUCUCAGCAGCACUAGUUUUAAGUAAGCAAUUUUCAGAUGAACUGGUAUUCUUCAGUGAGCCAGCAGUGCCUUAAAUGUGCUCCUUUCAGG